rnacentral:rRNA from 1 species
UACGUAGGGGGCAAGCGUUGUCCGGAAUCACUGGGCGUAAAGCGCGCGCAGGCGGUCAUCUACGUCUGGGGUGAAAGCCCGGAGCUCAACUCCGGGAUUGCCUUGGAUACGGGAUGACUUGAGGAUCGGAGAGGCAAGGGGAAUUCCACGUGUAGCGGUGAAAUGCGUAGAGAUGUGGAGGAACACCUGUGGCGAAGGCGCCUUGCUGGCCGAUUUCUGACGCUGAGGCGCGAAAGCGUGGGGGAGCAAACAGG